GACGAACGCUGGCGGCGUGCCUAAUACAUGCAAGUAGGACGCAGUUGCGAACGGGUGAGUAACGCGUUGGUAACUGCCGCUUCAAGGGGGAUACCUAUUGGAAACGAUAGCUAAUACCGCAUACUAGUAGAUGGACCUGCGUUGUAUUAUCUAGUAGGUAGGGUAAUGUCCUACCUAGGCGCCGAUACCUAGCCGACCUGAGAGGGUGAUCGGCCACACUGGGACUGAGACACGGCCCAGAUCCCUCCGGGAGGCAGCAGUAGGGAAUCGUCGGAAAUGGGGCGAACCCCGACCGAGCAACGCCGCGUGAGUGAAGAAGGUUUUCGGAUCGUAAAGCUCUGUUGUUAAGGAAGCGGUACUUAACCAGAAAGGGACGGCUAACUACGGGCCAGCAGCCGCGGUAAUAC
rnacentral:rRNA from 1 species